GACGAACGCUGGCGGCGUGCUUAACACAUGCAAGUCGAACGGAAAGGCCCGGCUUUUGUGGCGUGCUCGAGUGGCGAACGCGUGAGUAACACGUGAGUAACCUGCCCUUGACUUUCGGAUAACUUCACGGAACUGGGGCUAAUACCGGAUAGGAUCUCCUGCUGCAUGGUGGUGGUUGGAAAGUUUCGGCGGUUGGGCAUGGACUCGCGGCUUAUCCGCUUGUUGGUGGGGUAGUGGCUUACCAAGGCUUUGACGGUUAGCCGGCCUGGGAGGGUGACCGGGUACAGUGGGCCAGGGAUACGGCCCGGACUCCUACGGGAGGCAGGAGUGGGGACCAGUGCACACUGGGCGGAAGGCGGAUGGAGCAACGCCGCGUGCGGGAUGACGGCCUUCGGGGAGGAAACCGCUUUCGACUGUGACGACGCGUGAUGGACGGUAAUGGGCAAAGAAGCACCGGCUAACUCCGU
rnacentral:rRNA from 1 species